UACGUAGGGGGCAAGCGUUAAUCGGAAUUACUGGGCGUAAAGCGUGCGCAGGCGGUUUGUUAAGUCUGAUGUGAAAGCCCCGGGCUCAACCUGGGAACUGCAUUGGAAACUGGCAAGCUCGAGUAUGGCAGAGGGGGGUGGAAUUCCGCGUGUAGCAGUGAAAUGCGUAGAGAUGCGGAGGAACACCGAUGGCGAAGGCAGCCCCCUGGGCCAAUACUGACGCUCAGGCACGAAAGCGUGGGGAGCAAACAGG
rnacentral:rRNA from 1 species